CUACGGGCGGCUGCAGUGGGGAAUAUUGCACAAUGGGCGCAAGCCUGAUGCAGCCAUGCCGCGUGUAUGAAGAAGGCCUUCGGGUUGUAAAGUACUUUCAGCGGGGAGGAAGGGAGUAAAGUUAAUACCUUUGCUCAUUGACGUUACCCGCAGAAGAAGCACCGGCUAACUCCGUGCCAGCAGCCGCGGUAAUACGGAGGGUGCAAGCGUUAAUCGGAAUUACUGGGCGUAAAGCGCACGCAGGCGGUUUGUUAAGUCAGAUGUGAAAUCCCCGGGCUCAACCUGGGAACUGCAUCUGAUACUGGCAAGCUUGAGUCUCGUAGAGGGGGGUAGAAUUCCAGGCGUAGCGGUGAAAUGCGUAGAGAUCUGGAGGAAUACCGGUGGCGAAGGCGGCCCCCUGGACGAAGACUGACGCUCAGGUGCGAAAGCGUGGGGAGCAAACAGGAUUAGAUACCCCGGUAGUC
rnacentral:rRNA from 1 species